rnacentral:rRNA from 1 species
CUCGGAGAUGUGUAUAAGAGACAGGGGCUCAAGCACGGAACCGAAGCUAUGGCAUGAUAGCAAUAUCAUGGGUAGGGGAGCGUUCUUAUAAGGAAGAAGCAUGACCGGAAGGACAUGUGGACAAAUAAGAAGUGAGAAUGCCGGUAUGAGUAUCGAAAAGAAAGGUGAGAAUCCUUUCCACCGAAAGCCCGAGGGUUCCUGAGCAACGAUCGUCGACUCAGGGUAAGUCGGGACCUAAGCCGAGGCGAGAAGCGUAGGCGAUGGACAACAGGUUGAAAUUCCUGUACCGGAUCAAGUCGAUCGAGCGAAGGAGCGACGCAGGAGGGCACAUGAUCGCGCGGCUGGAAGAGCGCGUCCAAGUGCGUAUGUUGCCGCAGAGGAAAACCCCUGCAGCUAAAAGCAGAGACAUGAAGGGGAGUUAAAGGAAACUUUGACGAACUCAUGGAUCCCACACUGCCAAGAAAAACUUCUAGCGAGACAAGAUCCGCCCGUACCGUAAACCGACACAGGUAGGCGGGGAGAGAAUCCUAAGGUGCGCGGGAAAACCCUCGUUAAGGAACUCGGCAAAUUGCAUCCGUAACCUAGGGAGAAGGAUGGCCCCCGGUCAGUGAAGAGCAGAAACGCUCAGAGCUAAAAGGGGCGGCAGAAAAGAGGCCCAAGCAACUGUUUACCAAAAACACAGGUGCCUGCGAAAGCGAAAGCUGAAGUAUAGGUGCUGACGCCUGCCCGGUGCCGGAAGGUUAAGGAGAGAAGUUAGCGAAAGCGAAGCAUCGAACUGAAGCCCCGGUGAACGGCGGCCGUAACUAUAACGGUCCUAAGGUAGCGAAAUUCCUUGUCGGGUAAGUUCCGACCCGCAUGAAAGGCGUAAUGAUUUGGGCACUGUCUCAACGAGGGGCCCGGUGAAAUUGAAAUACCUGUGAAGAUGCAGGUUACCCGCGACUGGACAGAAAGACCCCAUGGAGCUUCACUGCAGCUUGAGAUUGAAUCCCGGUGACAGAUGCACAGGAUAGGUGGGAGGCGCCGAAGCAUUGCCCUAGGGCGGUGCGGAGCCGAUGUUGGGAUACCACCCUUCUGUUGCUGAGAUUCUAACGCGAGGAGUAACGACCCUGCGGACCCUCUCAGGCAGGCGGUUUGACUGGGGCGGUCGCCUCCGAAAGAGUAACGGAGGCGCCCAAAGGUUCCCUCAGGCCGGACAGAAACCGGCCGAAGAGUGCAAAGGCAGAAGGGAGCUUGACUGCGAGACCAACAAGUCGAGCAGAGACGAAAGUCGGGCUUAGUGAUCCGGUGGUACUGAGUGGAAAGGCCAUCGCUCAACGGAUAAAAGCUACCCUGGGGAUAACAGGCUAAUCUCUCCCAAGAGUUCAUAUCGACGGGGAGGUUUGGCACCUCGAUGUCGGCUCAUCACAUCCUGGGGCUGGAGUAGGUC